CCUACGGGAGGCAGCAGUGAGGAAUAUUGGUCAAUGGACGCGAGUCUGAACCAGCCAAGCAGCGUGCAGGAUGACUGCUCUAUGAGUUGUAAACUUCUUUUAUACAGGAAUAAAACGCGGCACGUGUGCCUUUUUGCAUGUAUUUUAUGAAUAAGGAUCGGCUAACUCCGUGCCAGCAGCCGCGGUAAUACGGAGGAUCCGAGCGUUAUCCGGAUUUAUUGGGUUUAAAGGGAGCGUAGAUGGGUUGAUAAGUCAGUUGUGAAAGUUUGCGGCUCAACCGUAAAAUUGCAAUUGAUACUGGCAGUCUAGAGUACAGUUGAGGUAGGCGGAAUGCGUGGUGUAGCGGUGAAAUGCUUAGAUAUCACGAAGAACACCGAUUGCGAAGGCAGCUUACUAAACUAUGACUGACAUUGAUGCUCGAAAGUGUGGGUAUCAAACAGGAUUAGAUACCCCUGUAGUC
rnacentral:rRNA from 1 species